UCCAUCAAAACGUGUGUCAACUUGCGUUGCUCUGGACCCGGCUCAAAGUCACCCAUUUUUGGCUAAACACAUCUGCUAACUGUUUCUGAUACUAC